ACUCAAAGGAAUAGACGGGAGCCCGCACAAGCAGUGGAGUAUGUUGUUUAAUUCGACGCAACGCGAAGAACCUUACCAGGUCUUGACAUCUACAGAAGGGUCCGUAAUGGGAUCUGUGCCCUUCGGGGAACUGUAAGACAGGUAGUGCAUGGUUGUCGUCAGCUCGUGUCGUGAGAUGUUGGGUUAAGUCCCGCAACGAGCGCAACCCUUACGGAUAGUUGCCAGCCGUGUCAAAGCGGAGGCACUCUAUUUGGACUGCCGUUGACAAAACGGAGGAAGGUGGGGAUGAUGUCAAAUCAUCAUGCUCUUUAUGAUCUGGGCCACAAACGUACUACAAUGGCGCGAACAAAGGGGAGCGAAGCCGCGAGGCGGAGCAAAUCCCAAAAACGCGUCCCAGUUCAGAUUGCAGGCUGCAACUCGCCUGCAUGAAGUCGGAAUUGCUAGUAAUCGCGGAUCAGCAUGCCGCGGUGAAUACGUUCCCGGGCUUUGUACACACCGCCCGU
rnacentral:rRNA from 1 species